rnacentral:rRNA from 1 species
ACGGAAGGCAGCAGUGGGGAAUAUUGGGCAAUGGGCGCAAGCCUGACCCAGCGACGCCGCGUGAAGGAAGAAGGUCUUCGGAUUGUAAACUUUUGUCAUCAGGGAAGAAGAAAGUGACGGUACCUGAUAAGAAAGCCACGGCUAACUACGUGCCAGCAGCCGCGGUAAUACGUAGGUGGCGAGCGUUAUCCGGAUUUACUGGGUGUAAAGGGUGUGUAGGCGGACUGACAAGUCAGGUGUGAAAUCCAUCGGCUCAACCGAUGAACUGCACUUGAAACUGCCAGCCUUGAGGGUCGGAGAGGCAAGCGGAAUUCCCAGUGUAGCGGUGAAAUGCGUAGAUAUUGGGAGGAACACCAGUGGCGAAGGCGGCUUGCUGGACGACAACUGACGCUGAGACACGAAAGCGUGGGGAGCAAACAGGAUUAGAUACCCUGGUA